UCAUUCUACCGCACUCUAAUCGGUGCGCCGCUCCUUUCGCUUUAUUUACCGCUCGUUGCCCGCUUCGAUCUCUCGCUCAAAACCGCCGAUUUCGCUCGAACUAUUCGAUUCCUGCCGGAAGGACCCUUGCUGGUUUUCGGCUGCGGGAAAAUAGAGUUAUGGGGGCUUCGAAGGAGUGCGCGAGCGGCGGCGGGGAGGCAGCCGUGCUGGAGCAGUUCCCGGUGGAACUGAGGGUUUUGUUGGUCGAUGAUGACAUCACCUGCCUGCGUAUUUUGGAGCAGAUGCUUCGGAGGUGCAAGUACGAGGUCACAAGCUGCUCUGAAGCUACGGUUGCUUUGAACUUAUUACGUGAAAAGAAGGGCUACUUUGACAUAGUCUUGACUGAUGUCCACAUGCCUGAUAUGGAUGGCUUCGAACUUCUUGAGCUUGUCAGAUCGGAAAUGGACCUUCCGGUCAUCAUGAUAUCAGCUGAUGGGAGGUCACACAUCGUCAAGCAAGGAAUUAACAAUGGCGCAUGUGACUACCUGAUCAAGCCUAUAACGGUCGAGCAAUUGGAAACCAUUUGGCAGCAUGUCAUUCAAAAAUAAGUGGAACAAGAUGGAAGACAGUGAUCAUAUAGGUAACAUGGUGAACCAUGAUCAUCCGAGACUCCAGUGUUGAAGAUGAUGUAGAUUUAGAAAAUGUGACCUUGCCAUGGCUAAGAAGCCCCUGUGUGGUUUGAGGCUAUGCCGAAGGGGAUUCUUGAACUGAUGAAUGUUCCCAUUUAUCAAGAGAGAAUGUUGCCAGUCAUAUACAGGUGCUGAAUUCUUCUCUCGACUUUUCCUAUUUCAGCUUUAUGCCCGAGUCAAUUUCUCAGCGACAAAUAUUACUGUUUUAGAAGUUCCUACUGUAUCUACAACAGUUAAGUGAGGUAGCUCAACAAUCAGUUGGCCUUACUAUUUUAUGCUGCCCAGAUGAGCAGUACUUAAAAUUAGCAUUGCUUAGGAGCUUUGAUGUUGAAAUCACUGGAAACUUCCUUGCAAAAUCCUCUGUGGACUAUGGUUUCCUUAUGUGCCAAAUUUUUGUCCCGACUGGAAACUUAGUAACACCCAAAAUGGAUAAGAGAACUUGAUUACAAGGAUCUCUUCAAGGAUCUAAGUAAUUUUGUUGGCAAAAAGGUUUUUGGUUGAAGUUAUUUGUAUGGCUGUGAAAAAGGGUAUUCAUAUUGAAGAUUAAAAGAGAGGACGAUGAGAUACUCAUAGUAUUCUUCUAGAGUGUAAACACAUCACAAAGUUUGCAGCCUUGUAAUUGUAAGUUGAAGGGAGAUUACAUAUGCAUUUGGUGGGGGAAUUAUUUGCAAUUAAUUGACUUGGUGUGUCUUAAUAUGGAGUUUAUGUUUAUGUAUGGGAGUGUAUUGAUUUAUGUAAUAAUAUGCAUCUUCAUGGAUAUGCUUGGAUUGGAACCCUA